rnacentral:rRNA from 1 species
CAAUAGCAUAUAUUAACGUUGUUGCAGUUGAAAAGCUCGUAGUUGAACUUUUGGUAGGAGCGACCUGGCCUUGGGCGCAUGCCCUUGUUUGCCGUGUGUCGUAUCUGGCCAUCCUUUUCCGCUUCGGUGGGAAUCUUUUACUGUGAGUAAACUGGAGUGCUCAAAACAAGACGUUUGUUUGGUACAUUAAAGCAUGGAAUAAUAAGAUAGGACCUGGUUACUAUUUUGUUGGUUUGCAUAGCUAGGUAAUGAUUAACAGGGACAGUUGGGGGUAUUCGUAUUUAAUUGUCAGAGGUGAAAUUCUUGGAUUUAUGAAAGACGAACGACUGCGAAAGCAUUUACCAAGGAUGUUUUCAUUAA